UACGGGGGGAGCAAGCGUUGUUCGGAUUUACUGGGCGUAAAGGGCGCGUAGGCGGCCUCUGCAAGUCGACUGUGAAAUCUCCGGGCUUAACCCGGAACGGUCAGCCGAUACUGCAGGGCUAGAGUGCAGAAGGGGCAACUGGAAUUCUCGGUGUAGCGGUGAAAUGCGUAGAUAUUGGGAAGAACACCGGUGGCGAAGGCGGCUCUCUGGACCGAGACUGACGCUGAGGUGCGAAAGCGUGGGGAGCAAACAGG
rnacentral:rRNA from 1 species